GAUGAACGCUGGCGGCGUGCCUAAUACAUGCAAGUCGAGCGAACGGACGAGAAGCUUGCUUCUCUGAUGUUAGCGGCGGACGGGUGAGUAACACGUGGAUAACCUACCUAUAAGACUAGGAUAACUUCGGGAAACCGGAGCUAAUACCGGAUGAUAUUUUGAACCGCAUGGUUCAAAAGUGAAAGACGGUCUUGCUGUCACUUAUAGAUGGAUCCGCGCUGCAUUAGCUAGUUGGUAAGGUAACGGCUUACCAAGGCAACGAUGCAUAGCCGACCUGAGAGGGUGAUCGGCCACAAUGGAACUGAGACACGGUCCAGACUCCUACGGGAGGCAGCAGUAGGGAAUCUUCCGCAAUGGGCGAAAGCCUGACGGAGCAACGCCGCGUGAGUGAUGAAGGUCUUCGGAUCGUAAAACUCUGUUAUUAGGGAAGAACAUAUGUGUAAGUAACUGUGCACAUCUUGACGGUACCUAAUCAGAAAGCCACGGCUAACUACGUG
rnacentral:rRNA from 1 species